UGCAUUUGAAAAACUAUGUGUAGAAAUGAUUUGAGGCCUAUGUUUCCUUCAGAAAGUCUUUACAUUUGUUUCUGUGAGGGGUCUAGGGGUGUAAGGGUCUCAAAGCACCUUAAACCAGGCUCAAAGCUUGAUAUUCCCUGGCCCAAACAAUUAGCAAUGUCUGCCAUAUAAGUAAAUAAAUGAAGAAUAUAAAAGACACCCACAAAGCAGCCCAAACACUCCCAAAUCAGAGACAACAGUAUCAACAGAGGUCAGUUGUUGGGGCCCCCAUGUUCUCACCUGAUCAGUGAGAGCUAAUAAUGAGUCCUCUAGGCAUAGCCAAAGGGCUUGUUGGUAGAAAGAUGUGGCGUCAUAAUGUGAUGUGAAAGUUGUAGGUGGACUGGCAAAUGUGUCAAUCCAUCGGACUGAAGGGGAGUGUUGAAUUUAGAUUUAAGAUUUUUCUUUCUUUACUGUCAAUGCUGUGUUAUCUGUAUUAUCUUAAAAGAAUCACUUGCUCUCUGGGCCUUGGUUUGUCCAUCUGUGAAGCAAUAGGAUUGCACCGCAUCAGUGUUUCCCAAAUUUUAAUGUUCACCUGUGCCUUGGGGAGCUUGUUAAACUGUAGGUUUUGAUUCAGUAAGCCUGGGAUGGACUCUGAGAGUCAGUGAGUCUAUCUAAGAAGCUCCCAGCUGAUUCCAGUACUCCUGAUCUGUGGGCCACACCUGGAGUAGAAAAGUUUUACAUAAACUCUACCUUCCUCUCCUGUACAAGUCUAGGCAAAUAGGGACCCACUGAUUAAACAAAUCCACUCCCCAACCAGAUAAUUCUGCCUUGUAUUUCAGAACUGGGUUCCCAUCUCACGUCCUCUAGAAAACCUUGUCUGGUGUCUUUGCUUGCAGGGCAUCCCACCAACAGCCUGACCCUAAGCUCUGUGAGCAUGCCUCUGUCAUAUUGCCCUGUAGUCACCUGUCCAAUGUCAACAUCCAUGUCCCCAGUGCUGAUAUAGUGCCGGGCACAUAAUUAGAACUCAAUAAAUACUUGUGGUAUAAGUAAAUGGAAGAACAAACCAAUGUAAGUUACAACUAGAGGUGGGAGUCAGGGGUGACUCAGCAUAUUCAUGACUCGGGCUUAAAAAAGUCAGAUCUCGGAGCAGUAUGAAGAAGAGGCAAGAACGACCCCCGGACCGACCAGAGCCCGCGCGCCGCUGCAUCCCGCGUCCAGCACCUACGUCCCCCCGCUGUCGCCACCGCCACCAUGCCCAAGAGAAAGGCUGAAGGAGAUGCUAAAGGAGAUAAAGCCAAGGUGAAGGACGAACCACAGAGAAGAUCCAUGAGGUUGUGUGCUAAACCUGCUCCUCCAAAGCCAGAGCCCAGGCCUGAAAAGGCCCCUGCAAAGAAGGGACAGAAGGUCCCCAAAGGGAAAAAGGGAAAAGCUGAUGCUGGCAAGGAGGGGAAUAACCCUGCAGAAAAUGGAGAUGCCAAAACAGACCAGGCACAGAAAGCUGAAGGUGCUGGAGAUACCCAGUGA